rnacentral:rRNA from 2 species
UACGGAGGAUGCAAGCGUUAUCCGGAAUUAUUGGGCGUAAAGCGUCCGCAGGUGGCAUUUCAAGUCUGCUGUCAAAGACCGGGGCUUAACCCUGGAAAGGCAGUGGAAACUGAAACGCUAGAGUGUCGUAGGGGUAGAGGGAAUUCCUGGUGUAGCGGUGAAAUGCGUAGAGAUCAGGAAGAACAUCGGUGGCGAAAGCGCUCUACUGGACGACAACUGACACUCAGGGACGAAAGCUAGGGGAGCGAAUGGG